rnacentral:rRNA from 1 species
CGAGUGCAAAUGCAGAAGCGUGCUUGACUGUGAGAGCAACAACUCGAACAGGGACGAAAGUCGGGAUUAGUGAUCCGGCGGUGCCGAAUGGAAGGGCCGUCGCUCAACGGAUAAAAGCUACCCUGGGGAUAACAGGCUGAUCUCGCCCAAGAGUUCACAUCGACGGCGAGGUUUGGCACCUCGAUGUCGGCUCAUCGCAUCCUGGAGCUGGAUUCGGUUCCAAGGGUUGGGCUGUCCGCCCAUUAAAGCGGUACGCGAGCUGGGUUCAGAACGUCGUGAGACAGUUCGGUCCCUAUCUGUUGUGGGCGAAGGAGAUUUGAGGAGAGCUGCCCUUAGUACGAGAGGACCGGGGUGGACCUACCGCUGGUGCACCAGUUGUAUCGCCAGAUGCAUAGCUGGGUAGCUAAGUAGGGAAGGGAUAAGCGCUGAAAGCAUCUAAGCACGAAGCCUACUCCAAGAUGAGAUCUCCCAUUCGCAAGAAGUAAGACCCCUUGAAGACGACGAGGUAGAUAGGCCAGGGAUGGAAGUGCAGCGAUGCAUGGAGUUGACUGGUACUAAUCGGUCGAGGACUUAAUCAG